rnacentral:rRNA from 1 species
UUAAUUCAUACGUCUUAUUUAAUUUCUGUUGUUUCUUUAUUUAUUUUUAUUUGAUGUUAAGAUUAAGGGGGAUUAGCUCCUUAUUCUGCUUUUAUAAUUGUCUUGGUUAAUUUAGUUUUGUGGAUUUUAUGGUGAUUUUCUAUUUGAUUAUGUUAAAAUUUUAUUUGUUCUUUUUUUAAUUUUUUGUUAUUUAAGUUAUUUAUUGAAAUGUUUUCUUUACUUUUGGUUUGUAUGGUAAUUAUUGUGUAAUUAGUAAAUUUUAUUGGUUGUUUUGUGAGUAUGUUAGAUGUUAAUUAUUUUUAAGGAAUUCGGCAAAAUUUUAUGUCCGCCUGUUUAACAAAAACAUCUUUUCUUGUUAGUUUUUGAAGUAUGGCCUGCCCCCUGACUGUUGGAGGUUGAAGGGCCGCGGUAUUUUGACCGUGCAAAGGUAGCAUAAUCAUUAUUUCUUUAAUUGUGAUCUGGUAUGAAUGGCUUGACGAGACAUAACCUGUCUUGGAGGUAUUGGUUUAUUGAAUUUGGUUUUUGAGUUAAAAUUCUUAAAUGUUUUUAUGGGACGAGAAGACCCUAUAGAGUUUGACAAUUUUCUUAUUUAUUCAUUGUUUGUUUUCUGUUAUAUUGAGUGGGAAUGAUUGUUUUGUUGGGGUGAUGAGAGGAAUAUUAUUUAACUCCUCUUUGUUUUUGUAUAUUUAUUCAUAUAUUUUUGAUCCAUUUAUUUUGAUUAUAAGAUUAAAUUACC